rnacentral:rRNA from 1 species
UUCUUUUAGAAAAAAUUAAAAGUAUAUUCUGCUCAAUGAGAAAAUUUAAAUAGCUGCAUUUUUGUACUAAGGUAGCAUAAUCAAUUGUCUAUUAAUUGUAGACUAGAAUGAAAGGAUUUAUAAUUAUAGGUUUUAUUUAGUUUUAAAAAUUGAAUUUUAAAUUUGAAUAAUAAUGUUCAAAUGAUAUUUAGGGACAAGAAGACCCUAUAAAGCUUUAGAUAUUAAUAUUAAAUUUAUAAAUUAGUAAAAAUAUUUUAUUGGGGCAAUUUAUUAUGAUUAAGAAAUAUAAUAUAAAAAGUUAUUGUAAAGAAUAAAAUUAUGAUCCAUUAAUAAUGAGAAAUUGAAUAAGUUACUUUAGGGAUAACAGUAUAAUUUUUAUUUAAUAGUUCAAAUAUAAAAUAAAGGUUAUAACCUCGAUGUUGGAUUAAUAUUAUAUAAUGGUGAAGAAGCUAUUAUUAUUUGACUGUUCGUCAAUUAAAAUAUUACA